AAUCUUCCUCAUUCCUUCACAGCUGAUGACAGUUAAAGCAGGCUGGUGCCCUUUAAGUGUGGAGGACCCUCUCAGUCAUUGAAGAUCAAGCCAGAAGUGGAGCUCCUAUUUAAGGCUCAAUCUGAAGAUGACUAGUGCUGAAACUGCAUGUGAGCUCUGAGCUUACAGAAUCUACAUCUUACCCAAGUCUCUAAUAUAGAUGUUAGUGGAGGUGCAAGUUAUCAUGUUUAUUCAUUAGAUACUGUAAAGCUGAUUUGGGAGUCAGGGAUAUCUUCAGGUCAGCUCCCCUACCGUUUGAGCUGAGAAGACACCUGGGAGACAAUGCAGAUAUUUCCAGGGAACAGUUUUCAAUACAUAAGCUUUAUUAGUCUAGCAGUAUGUAUUAGUGAUGUGUUUCAGCUGUGUGCAGAUCUGACUUAUGAGAGAAACUGAGGUGAUUUGAGGCAAACUCCCACAUUCCUGAGUUUAAUCACACCAUUACUAAGGAGGGUUGAUGUGAAAUGGGAGUUCCCAACCUUCUGUGUAGUUCUGCUGCUUCACUCCCCUCUCCAAGUUAACUGUGGAAACUUUUAAAUACCUUUUAUUUUCUAGCAAAUGAAACCAGUGACCAGGGAUAUGUCCAGAGCUUAGAUGGGUAGAAAUGGCGUUUUGUUUUUGUUUGUAAUUUGACUUAAAAUUCAGUGCACUAUUUCCCCAGGUCACUCCAAUCACAGUAGCUUGGGAGAGGGGUUUUGAAGUAAAUAAAAAAUACUGUUCUUCAGGGGGGUCAUCCUCUGAGGUUUGACUGUGACAACAGCAUGCAAGCAGCAAAAAUUGGCUAUUGGGUUCACCUGCUACUUCCUUGCCCUCCCCCUAAAAACUACUAACACUGUAAUUCUGUUUCUCUCUUUCUCCAUGGAGGUUACUCCUAAGAAGAGGUAAGGUAGGAGGGGGUGGAAAGUGUCUGCAAUUUUGCAGCUUUGUUUCCCAAAAGUAUUCCCCCUUAUUUCCCCAGUUUUAACCCCCACCCCGUUAACAAAAAGCCCUGUGAGAGGGAAUACGAUUUUAAUUUUCCCAAUCAAAAUGGUAAUCUCUGCCCUUAAAGGAGAACCACUGCACCUAUCUUCCUGAAAUUUUGCACCCCCAACCUAAAAAUAUGUGAUUAUGCCUGCUAUUUACAUCCAAAACAGACAUCAAAUUUUAAAAGUCCACCCCCCUUCACUCCACAGAUGAAUCUGCCUGAAAUUUAACAGGCUUAAUGCAAUUGUGGCAGCAAGUGGGGAAUCUUUUGUCUGCAAAUUCCAUCCACUUAUGUGAAGAAAAAAAAAAUAGGUAGCAGUUUUGAAGAUUCCCCAUUAUAGUCAAUGGGUGGAAAACAGAGCUUCAGAUUUAAUAUGACAGAUUAGAUAAGAGGAUAAGAAAUCAAACACAAAUGGUACAGAGUGGAUCUGAAACAGAUUAGUCAUCUUCCAAACCACUACAGAUAAAAGAAGAAUAUUGUAAUCACUGCAUACCCAUAACUGUGUCCAUUUGAGGCUUUUAAUAGCUAUUCCCCUUCAGUCCAUUUGGAAACUAUUUCUGGCUAGCACAACUGCAUUUGGAGAGUGUCCUCAGUCUGAAAAAUGGUUCUCCAUAGGACUGAUGCUUGGAAAUGGUCCAAGUCAACUUGGGUAUAUGGAACUAGUUGCCCUGUUCUUUGGAUCAUGGCCAUCAAUUCCAAAAGUGGUUAGCAUAAAUCUUGAUUUCUUGCAUUAAUUGAUUUGUUGAUUUGAAUGCUAACUCUAUUUCAUUACUAUGCUUCAUUUACUUUAGUAUGUUUUAUUACCUUAUUCCAUUUGGACUUUCAAACAUGAUAUUGAAAAAUCAACUCAUAAAAGCCCAGGAGUUUUAAAAAUGAUCACUCACCCAAUUAAGCAAUAUGCCUUGUAGCAUGUGCUAUGAUAAACAAGCAAUCAUAAGUUUCACAUCAUCAAAUAAGCACAUUCAGUGCUUCAUUACAUGUAGUAUCAUUUCACGGAAUCAUGAUUUAUGAUAUGAUGAUUUUAUUUCAGAAGUUAUUGAUUUUAUGAUUUAUUUCAUUAUGACUUGAUUGCAUUUUGCCUGAAACUUACAUUAACAUCAAUAUUUAGUCCCACAAAUUUAAAAACAAAUCAAUAUUUACAAAAUUCACCACAUAUCAAAGUUCCAGUAAAUAAACUGAGAUGUGAAAGGGUGGGAGUGAGGAGUCAGUGCUUUUAGGUCUUCUACUCUUGGUUUAUAUAUACUGUGCUACAUCUGAGUUUAGGAUGAAGAUGCAUGCCAUUAUUAUUGGGUUGUAUCUAAUUCUAGUCAUCCAAUGCUAGUCACACUCGCUGUAAACCCAGAUAACUUUCAGUGGUUUUACUCUGAGUAGAAUUUAGAGACAACCCAUAAUUAUUUCACACCAUUGUUUGACAUGGAACUAGUUACUACUUAAUAAAAAAGAUAGAGAAAACAAGUUAAAGAUUCAAUGAUAACAUGGGCACAGAAAAUUGAUGGUAAUAUUCCUAUGGAAACCUGGGAAAUACCGUGAAAAAGAGCUCACAAAUUAUAAUUAUACCAGGCUAUAAGAGAACAAUGAUAUGAAGUUAUAUCAAGGUGGUAUGAUACCUGUUGCAACUAAUGCUAUAAACAAAAAUAUACAAAAAUGAGCUGGCAAUGCACACACACGCAUAUAUCAUCACUUCAGCAUUCCUUGUGGGAUUCUGAUUCAUAAAUGACACAUGUUAUUGUUAAGGCAAGGCUGUAUGUGCCACAUGGCCUGCUUUGCAACCUUUAAGCUAGCCUGCUGCUCCCAAAUGUGGUGGAAGACCUUGUCCCAUUGCCACUGUUGUAGAAAAAUGCCAGCUGGGUCAUGUGUAUGGUAGAGGGGUGUCAUCUAUUCCUUUGCUUCAGGCAGCAAAAGGUCUUAACCCAGUCUUUGUGCCACCUCAGAAAUGUUGCCACACUCACACAGACGUAACAAAAAACAACCACCAAAAAUAAUCAGUGUCUGAAUUUCUUGUAGCUAUAUCUUGCAUUCACCACAAUACGGUGCAUUAUAGAGUAUGGUAUUAUAUUUGCGCUCUCUCUCUCUCUCUCUCUCUCUCUGUGUGUGUGUGUGUGUGUGUGUGUUUGUAUAUACAUAUGAUUCAACAGCUUCAUUCUGAUUUGUCUGCUUGUAUCCAUAGGCAUAUUUCUAAAGGUUACCAUUCAAUAUUUAAUUCUGCAUAUAUUUAGAGAGACAAAGAUUUAACAAAUUAAUGCUUUAACUAGCUGAUAUUUCAGCUGCUACUUUUUUUCUUUUUGCCGUAAGAACCCAUCAAACAUUUACAACACAACAAAAUCCCUCCAACCUGCAGCCAGUUUUAAUAAUGAAUUCAGAGUCAAAUCAUCACCAGCAGCUUACCAUUUUUCUUACCAUUACAUUUGUUUCCCCUGAGCUCUUGAGAGAGGUGAAGCAGACUUGGCCUGCCUAGAUAUAUGUUAUCUUUAUGGGGAUUCAAACACAAAUGCUAGAAUACUGUUAUUUCUGGGAGCUUAAUGGUUCAGUGAAGAGCUGCCACAUGCUACUCUAAUGGAGAGGGUUAUGAUUUGCCUAGUACCAUUUGUUACAUCAUUUACUCUUUCAGUGUUCCUUUGUCGCAAAAAGACAUCCAGACUUUCCUUUUAAAUUCAUUGCUUAGCAUGUAUUGUGAUGCUGCAGAGCUAGGUACCUAUGAAAGCUGUGUGGCCUUAGAAUUCAUUAUUAAGAUCAGGCCAAUAUUGAGCCAGAAAGAAUGUCAUGUAUGCAUAGUAAUCACACACAACCAGCCUUUCAAAAGGAGAUUAAAUAACUGAAAGGGGUUGAGUAAUCAUCCUGAAAAGUAAAUAAAAUAAAAUCAUGAAGCCCUCUUCAACCACUUGCAAUUCUGAUAUGUGUUUUCUGCAUAAUCCUGAAAACAUUGGAUGAAAAAGGACUGUGUGUUAUAUUUGAUUUGAAAGAUUCUCAAGAGCCCAUACUAUGCCUAGAGAGUAAUGAAAGUGAAUCACUGGAAGAGUAAUAUGUAUCACAGCUAGGCUGUUACUACCAAAUCUUUAGAAAUUCAGGUCAGUGAGGAGAUGAGACUUGGGGCAGGAGGAGCAUGAAACACUCUUCUCCCAUUUGCAUGUUGGCGUAAGGAAACCUACAGAUUUUUGGAGUGAGGAAAGAUACUUGUGUUCCUUUGCAACAUUGUUGAAUUUGUAACCGUCAUCUUUCCCUUCAAAAUGCAUAUUCUGUGCAUCAUAUUUUGGGGGGAAAUAGCAACUGUCAGUCAUAGUUGUCACUGCAUUUGUGUAUUAUGGCUGUAAUUUACUUCAUUUCACUUUUUUAUUUGAUUUCUUAGUUGCCUAAUAAAAACAUUUUUCUAGACAACACACACAACUAAAACAACCGUAUCGGGACAUUCCUCUGGGCCAAUCCCACGAAACACUUCAACCCACAUCCGUAGAUGUGAGCACGCAUUAGCAGAGUUCAGCGAAAGCAAGAUUGUGUCGGAUAUGUGCCAUCAGAAUCUUCAUUUACAGCAAAGAAAACAAAAGCAUCAUGACGACCAGUGAGCUGCAUCACACAGCUUCUCACACAGACACUUCCCUCAGAAGAGAGAUAGAAAACAAAGACUGGAAGUAUCUCAGACUGACUUCCAUUCCCAUACAACAACAGUAUAGAAAAGUAGACAUAGGAUCAUAUGAUCCAGCAAUGGAAAAUGAAAUAUACUAACAAACCGUUGCCUUACCAAUAAAACCCAGCCGGCAAUCAGAAACAAACUGGAUCAUAGGAACCAACUCUUAGGGCUGAGAUCCUUUCACCCUCCCCAAUAACUUAUUUGAAGGGGAUGUCCCCCAAAGUUGAUAGGCAUUGCAUCAUGUGAUUGAUUAUGAGGGGUGGGGCUUACCUGCCCACCCAAUAUUUUAUUCAUGUUGGCACCCCUAAAUUGGAUUAUAUGUUAGCUCCCUGUGUCCUUAAGUGUACAUUUUAUAAAAGAUAAAUGGCCAGAAUGCUCUUCCUCAAUCUAGAUUGGAACCCUAAUGUGAAGGAGAAGAACCACAGUCCCUUUGCCUGCCCCCAGAUUCUCCAUGCCCCCAGCAAUUUACAUAGAAAGAGAAAUAUUCAUCAAUGGGAGCUGCCACCCCCUGGGCUACGUAAACCGUUGCUGGUGAUGAGGGCAAUCCAGACCAGGACCACAAAGUUAGCACAGAGUUAAAGACUUCCCUACCCCCCAGGCUAGGGUUGAUCACACUCUUUAUGUCUAGUUUGUGUUCAUUUGGGGUUUUGUAUGUGCCUGCACUGAUGGGCACAUAUAAGGAGAUAUGCUGGUCGUCAUUCACACCCAUCCCCUGCUAUCUAACUUUUUCUAACCAUUAGUUUUCAAAAGUCAACAAUUCUGCACUAUUAACUAGAAAUUCACCCAACAAAGCAUGGUUUGCCAGCAGAUGCCAGCAGAUGUAACAAUAUUAUAGCUUCUGCCUUUUACAACUCUCUUGAAAUAUAUGGAAAGUUGUAAGCAAGCUGCCAUGUGUUUCAAAUACAACCAGCAAAAUUGCCCCACAUGACUUCAUAGUUAACUAAGCUGCGAGAACCCUUUUCUUCUGUCAUCUAAUUUUCUAUGUGCAAUUUUUACAUGGAGGCACAUUCCAGUCAUGUGAUUUCCUGCCAGCAAUUUGAAGUACAUUUUAGACAUCUAAUAUGCUGCUUCUGAUAACCAGACCUAGAUUUCCAGCCUAAUUCAUACUUUUCUGUUUGUUUUGGCCAUAUUGUCUCCUUCAUUUGUUUUCUUUUUUCUCCAUUUAUUUUCUAAGGCUGGAAAAUGUUAGAAGCAAGAAAACUUCCUGCUUACACACUAAACAAUGUUAUGGUCGAUAGAUGCUAAUAACCAUGUUGGUAUUUGUGCUAAAACCUAUGCAACCAAAUCUCUGAAUAAAAUUCCACACUGCACUUCACAGUAUUUUGAAUAUCUUGCUUUGUGACCCAAACCAAUCUUUCAUAUUCCAGCUGCAUAGCGAAAUCACGUUUCAAACAUUUCCCCAACAAUAUGUGGUUGUUUAUGCACAAUUUCCUGAUGCUAAUGUAAAAAAUAAAGUGUGCA